GACGAACGCUGGCGGCGUGCUUAACACAUGCAAGUCGAACGGUGAAGCGCCUUCCUUUUUGGUGGGUGUGGAUGAGUGGCGAACGGGUGAGUAACACGUGAGUAACCUGCCCCCUUCUUCUGGAUAACCGCAUGAAAGUGUGGCUAAUACGGGAUAUUCUGGGUCUGUCGCAUGAUGGGUCUGGGAAAGAUAUUGUUUCGGUGGGGGAUGGGCUCGCGGCCUAUCAGCUUGUUGGUGGGGUGAUGGCCUACCAAGGCGGUGACGGGUAGCCGGCCUGAGAGGGUGGACGGUCACACUGGGACUGAGACACGGCCCAGACUCCUACGGGAGGCAGCAGUGGGGAAUAUUGCACAGUGGGCGCAAGCCUGAUGCAGCGACGCCGCGUGGGGGAUGGAGGCCUGCGGGUUGUGAACCUCUUUCGCCAGUGAAGCAGGCCUGCCUCGUUUGUGGGUGGGUUGACGGUAGCUGGAGAAGAAGCGCCGGCUAACUACGUG
rnacentral:rRNA from 1 species